rnacentral:rRNA from 1 species
GGUUCAUUCAAAUUUCUGCCCUAUCAACUUUCGAUGGUAGGAUAGUGGCCUACCAUGGUAUCAACGGGUAACGGAGGGUUAGGGCUCGACCCCGGAGAAGGAGCCUGAGAAACGGCUACUACAUCCAAGGAAGGCAGCAGGCGCGCAAAUUACCCAAUCCCGACCGGAGAGGUAGUGACAAUAAAUACUGAUACAGGGCUCUUUUGGGUCUUGUAAUUGGAAUGAGUACAAUUUAAAUCCCUUAACGAGGAACAAUUGGAGGGCAAGUCUGGUGCCAGCAGCCGCGGUAAUUCCAGCUCCAAUAGCGUAUAUUAAAGUUGUUGCAGUUAAAAAGCUCGUAGUUG